rnacentral:rRNA from 1 species
UGAGGAAUAUUGGUCAAUGGACGAGAGUCUGAACCAGCCAAGUAGCGUGAAGGAUGAAGGUCCUACGGAUUGUAAACUUCUUUUAUAAGGGAAUAAACCCUCCCACGUGUGGGAGCUUGUAUGUACCUUAUGAAUAAGCAUCGGCUAACUCCGUGCCAGCAGCCGCGGUAAUACGGAGGAUGCGAGCGUUAUCCGGAUUUAUUGGGUUUAAAGGGAGCGCAGACGGGUCGUUAAGUCAGCUGUGAAAGUUUGGGGCUCAACCUUAAAAUUGCAGUUGAUACUGGAGUCCUUGAGUGCGGUUGAGGUGUGCGGAAUUCGUGGUGUAGCGGUGAAAUGCUUAGAUAUCACGAAGAACGCCGAUUGCGAAGGCAGCACACUAAUCCGUAACUGACGUUCAUGCUCGAAAGUGUGGGUAUCAAACAGG